ACGAACGCUGGCGGCGUGCUUAACACCUGCCAGUCGAACGGAAAGGCCCUGCUUUUGUGGGGUGCUCGAGUGGCGAACGGGUGAGUAACACGUGAGUAACCUGCCCUUGAUUUUGGGAUAACUUCAGGAAACUGGGGCUAAUACCGGAUAGGAGCUCCUGCUGCAUGGUGGGGGUUGGAAAGUUUCGGCGGUUGGGGAUGGACUCGCGGCUUAUCAGCUUGUUGGUGGGGUAGUGGCUUACCAAGGCUUUGACGGGUAGCCGGCCUGAGAGGGUGACCGGCCACAUUGGGACUGAGAUACGGCCCAGACUCCUACGGGAGGCAGCAGUGGGGAAUAUUGCACAAUGGGCGGAAGCCUGAUGCAGCAACGCCGCGUGCGGGAUGACGGCCUUCGGGUUGUAAACCGCUUUCGCCUGUGACGAAGCGUGAGUGACGGUAAUGGGUAAAGAAGCACCGGCUAACUACGUG
rnacentral:rRNA from 1 species